AUAAAGAAGCACUCUAAUGGCCCUGGAGAGCAGAAGGGAGGAUUCUAGCAGCUGUGGCUUAUCAUGCAAGUUACACCCAUGGAUAUCUCUUCUUCUGCACAACUAUUAGAGGUGUGGGAGCUCAGUCCUCUUUUGCAUUAGAAGGGCAUCCCUGUCUAGGACACGUCAGCUGGUGUGAUGCCCCACAGAGCUACAAAGGGAAAGGGAAAGGUGAGUUGAGCAGGAAGAAAGCUGAACCAAAGGCUCGUCUAGAAAAUGUCAGCCCAUCACAAGCAACAGGACACUAACAUCCUAUUAUGCAACCCUUGAGCUUGAGAUGUAUAUUUUUAGGACCUACCUAACUUUAAUAUUUUGUGAUACUGUGUUUUAGUAUUGGUGUUGUGCUUUAAUUGUUGUAACCCACCAUGGGACCUUAGGGUGAAAGGCAGAUAAUAAAUUGUAACAACAACAACAACAACGAGGUUGUUCCUGGUGCAAUAGCUCCCUUUUAUAGGCAUUCCCAGAUGAACAUUAAAAAGUCUAGCAGGGUUCCAAGCUGCAAUGUUUGUUUCAUUUUGCUAGUGCUAGCUUGGAUUUGACUUGUUUAAUGCUUCGUGCAGAUCUCUUCCAAAACAUUUCUUCCUGUGGCUGCUGCUAUAAAUUAUGCCGAUAAAGGGUCCUUGCCCAUCCCUACCCAUAAGUGGAAAGAUAUUUGCAAGGAUGAGCAUUUCAUGCAUUUAGUAGAGUCUGAAAAUAGACCUAGAGCUUUCAGAUCUUCUCAACAUUGCUUGAAACUGCUCAUAUAAUGGCCUUUACUCCUUAGGCCCAACCACCUCUUGCUCCCUUCAUUGAAUCUGUCAAGAUACAAAUGUAGUGCUGACAACUCUCUCUCUCUUUCUUUCUUUCUUUCUUUCUUUCUUUCCUUCCUUCUCCAAAAUGCAGCCCUUCUGUGUUGUCCUUGGCUCAUCCCUUUAGAGCCAAACUAAAUGUAAUAGGGAAGAUUCAGCAUCAGUUCUCCUCACAUCUUUUUUCAAGCAACCAUGGAAGGAAGCAAAUUGGAUCAGGCAAAUUGGAUUGGAGAACUAGUGUGGUGUGGUGGUUAGAGUGUUGCACUAUGACCCAGGAGAUCAAGGUUCAAAUCUCCACUCAGCCAUGAAGCUCGCUGGGUGACCUUGGGCCAGUCGCUCUCAGCCUAACCGACCUGUACCUCAGAGUGUUGCUGUGAAGAUACCAUGGGGAGGAGGGGCACAUGAACUCCUUGGAAGAAAAAAGUGGUAUAGAAACAUAAUAAAUAAACAAUGAUCC